CACGCUGGAAUACUCCUGGUCCAGGCGCCUGUUGCUUUCCUCAAGGAUGUAGGUGGGGUAGCCGACCUGCUCCUGGAUGCUCAUGGCCUGAGGAGGAGCAGAGAGCUGGGUGGGAAGGCUGGCACUGCGCACGGUCUUGCAGGUCCCUGGGUGCUGGGGUCCCUGCCCCCCAUACCCAUUGGGGCCAUGACUGCUGGACUUGGUGGAUGCCCCACACCUCUAUUUGCAGGGCUCCGCAGGCACUGGCUCCAGCGCCUCUGCAGCUGCCAGGCCCUGCCAGGCCCACUCACCUUCUCCUGGGCCUUCUUCUUGGAUUCCUCGUCCAUCCAGCCCAGCUCGUCCAGGGUCUCCACGAACAUGGCCUGCACCUUCUUGAUGAGCUCUCUGACCUGAGGGCACGCGCGCCCUUGAAUCCGGGCCUCCUUGACAUACAGGGAGCCCACGGCGCUCUCCAUGUUGCUGUUGACGUAGCCGACGCACUCCCGCCAGCGCACCUCCUCCACCGUGGUGCCGUACAGCACCUGGCAGGCCGUUCAAUUAGGAUGCACAGGGACAAGACAGAAAUGUCCCCAUCAGAUGUGAUCCUGCAUCUGUGCCCGACCUUGGCUGCAACCCAUGCUCAUGCCAAGCAUCAGGGACCAAGCAGUGGGCGGAGUCUCCUCUGAGCCCUCACCUUGCGGUAGUUUACCCGGGCAUCCUUGAACCGCUGGCUCAGGCUGCUGAUGCGAUCCAGCACCAGGCGCCAGACCAGAUAGUUCUGCAUGGUCCUGGGCAGGAAGCAGCACGGGGUGAGCACUCUCUGUGAGUUGGGAGACCAGGGUCCACCCAUCCCCCGCAUGCUUGGAAGGCCCCAGUCUCUAGUGCAGGGCUCACGGUCAUCAGUCACCUCCACGCCCCUCAGCCCUGGGGUGACUGGGAGGCUCCCUCUCCUGAGGAGGUGAGCAGGGGUGGGGAGAACAAAUAUGCUGAGGCCCCGCGGGACGCCCCCAGCCUCACCUGGC